UAGUUUAUCUAUAGCAAAUCCCCAUCCAUUUAUGGCAUAUCCUCACUCGGAUGCUCAAAACCUUCAAUUUCCAUAAGCUCAAGUGCAUCAUUCUUACUGGGUUGGAGAGAACUCAUCCUCGAGUUCUGUUCUUUCUUUAAAUAAGAU
rfam:Populus trichocarpa isolate Nisqually-1 chromosome 1, whole genome shotgun sequence.